CCCUUAGAUGUUCUGGGCCGCACGCGCGCUACACUGAUGAAUUCAACGAGCUCCUAACCUAGGCCGAAGGGUCCGGGUAAUCUUUGAAAUUUCAUCGUGAUGGGGAUAGAUUAUUGUAAUUAUUAAUCUUCAACGAGGAAUUCCUAGUAAGCGCGAGUCAUCAGCUCGCGUUGAUUACGUCCCUGCCCUUUGUACACACCGCCCGUCGCUCCUACCGAUUGAAUGGUCCGGUGAAAUGUUCGGACCGCGACAAGGCGGACGGUUCGCUGUCAGCUUUGCUGCGGGAAGUUCAUUAAACCUUAUCAUUUAGAGGAAGGAGAAGUCGUAACA
rnacentral:rRNA from 1 species